rnacentral:rRNA from 1 species
AUUCCAGCUCCAAUAGCGUAUACUAAAGUUGUUGCAGUUAAAAAGCUCGUAGUUGAAUUUCUGGUCGUGGCGAUCGGUCCGCCCCUCACGGGGUGUGCACCUGGUCUCUACGUCCAUCCUCGGGGAGAGCAUGCCUGGCAUUCAGUUGUCGGGUAUGGGAUCCUCGUCAUUUACUGUGAGCAAAAUAGAGUGUUCAAAGCAGGCUUAGGCCGUUGAAUACAUUAGCAUGGAAUAAUAAGAUAGGACCUUGGUCUAUUUUGUUGGUUUGCAUUCCAAGGUAAUGAUUAAUAGGGAUAGUUGGGGGUAUUCGUAUUCAAUUGUCAGAGGUGAAAUUCUUGGAUUUAUGGAAGACGAACUACUGCGAAAGCAUUUACCAAGGAUGUUUUCAUUA